UGUGCCUUGACUGAUGAAUUCCCAUUGCUGUUUCUAAAACAUCUUUGUCCAGGACAAGAUAAGUUGCACUUUUUGAUGUGCUCGAGCUUAAUACUACUGCCUUGACAGUUAGGAGUAGAGAACAGGGCUUUAACCCAUUGACUCCUGGCUAUUUUUGAGCUGAAUUUACAAAAAAACAGACUGAACAGAUACCAUGGAAAUCGAACUGGAGGAUCAGAUUAAAGGUAUCUAUUUGUG